rnacentral:rRNA from 1 species
GAUGAACGCUGGCGGCGUGCCUAAUACAUGCAAGUCGAGCGAGCAGACGAGGAGCUUGCUCCUCUGACGUUAGCGGCGGACGGGUGAGUAACACGUGGAUAACCUACCUAUAAGACUGGGAUAACUUCGGGAAACCGGAGCUAAUACCGGAUAAUAUAUUGAACCGCAUGGUUCAAUAGUGAAAGACGGUUUUGCUGUCACUUAUAGAUGGAUCCGCGCUGCAUUAGCUAGUUGGUAAGGUAACGGCUUACCAAGGCAACGAUGCAUAGCCGACCUGAGAGGGUGAUCGGCCACACUGGAACUGAGACACGGUCCAGACUCCUACGGGAGGCAGCAGUAGGGAAUCUUCCGCAAUGGGCGAAAGCCUGACGGAGCAACGCCGCGUGAGUGAUGAAGGUCUUCGGAUCGUAAAACUCUGUUAUUAGGGAAGAACAUAUGUGUAAGUAACUAUGCAAGUCUUGACGGUACCUAAUCAGAAAGCCACGGCUAACUACGUG